rnacentral:lncRNA from 1 species
UUGAACUGUCAGGGAAAGCCCAUCCUGCAAACUCAUUUGCAAACUCCUCCCAUGAUAGGCUGUCCAACCUCGGGUUCACAUAGUUCUUAAACCACUCUCGGGCCUUCUUGCAUUUUAGUGUGAACCCAGCCAUUUGAAUGGCUCUACUGUCAUCAGCUCCUAUCUCAUCUGUAAUUGUCUUGACCCUCUCAAGGUACACAAACGGGUCAUCACCGGUUUCAAACUGGGGAGCACCCAGCUUCAUAUAAUCGGUCAUCUUGACCUUGCUCCC